CGGGUGAGUAACACGUGGAUAACUUACCUAUAAGACUGGGAUAACUUCGGGAAACCGGAGCUAAUACCGGAUAAUAUAUUGAACCGCAUGGUUCAAUAGUGAAAGACGGUUUUGCUGUCACUUAUAGAUGGAUCCGCGCCGCAUUAGCUAGUUGGUAAGGUAACGGCUUACCAAGGCAACGAUGCGUAGCCGACCUGAGAGGGUGAUCGGCCACACUGGAACUGAGACACGGUCCAGACUCCUACGGGAGGCAGCAGCU
rnacentral:rRNA from 1 species